rnacentral:rRNA from 1 species
UGCUGGACUGUAACUGACGCUGAGGCACGAAAGCGUGGGGAUCAANCAGGAUUAGAUNNCCUGGUANNNCACGCCGUAAACGANGAAUGCUAGCUGUUAGCGAUAUACUGUUAGCGGCACAGAGAAAUCGUUAAGCAUUCCACCUGGGGAGUACGCCGGCAACGGUGAAACUCAAAGGAAUUGACGGGGGCCCGCACAAGCGGAGGAACAUGUGGUUUAAUUCGAUGAUACGCGAGGAACCUUACCUGGGCUUAAAUUGCAGUGGAAUAACGUGGAAACAUGUUAGCCUUCGGGCCGCUGUGAAGGUGCUGCAUGGUUGUCGUCAGCUCGUGCCGUGAGGUGUCGGCUUAAGUGCCAUAACGAGCGCAACCCUCAUCGAUAGUUACUAACAGGUUAAGCUGAGGACUCUAUCGAGACUGCCGACGUAAGUCGUGAGGAAGGUGGGGAUGACGUCAAAUCAGCACGGCCCUUACGUCCAGGGCUACACACGUGUUACAAUGGGGGGUACAAAGGGCAGCUACCUGGCGACAGGAUGCUAAUCUCAAAAACCUCUCUCAGUUCGGAUUGGAGUCUGCAACCCGACUCCAUGAAGCUGGAUUCGCUAGUAAUCGCGCAUCAGCCACGGCGCGGUGAAUACGUUCCCGGGCCUUGUACACACCGCCCGUCAAGCCAUGGGAGCCGGGGGGACCUGAAGUAUGCAACCGUAAGGAGCGUCCUAGGGUAAAACUGGUGACUGGGGCU